UACAGGGGGUGCAAACGUUGCUCGGAAUCAUUGGGCGUAAAGCGCACGUAGGCGGUCUGUUAUGUCGGAUGUGAAAGCCCUUGGCUUAACUGAGGAAGUGCAUCCGAAACUGGCGGGCUUGAGUGUGGCAGAGGGGGGUGGAAUUCCACGUGUAGCAGUGAAAUGCGUAGAGAUGUGGAGGAACACCGAUGGCGAAGGCAGCCCCCUGGGCUAACACUGACGCUCAGGCACGAAAGCGUGGGGAGCAAACAGG
rnacentral:rRNA from 1 species